AACAUCGAGAAAAGAGAAAGAACAGCUAAGAAAGUAAGAGGAAACGAAAGAAAGACAUCAUUUUUAUUUCAUUCUCCUUCUUCUUUUGUUUUGU
rnacentral:ribozyme from 1 species